CCUACGGGAGGCAGCAGUGAGGAAUAUUGGUCAAUGGACGAGAGUCUGAACCAGCCAAGUAGCGUGAAGGAUGACUGCCCUAUGGGUUGUGAACUUCUGUUAUAGGGGAAUAAAAUGUUCCACGUGUGGGAUUUUGUAUGUACCAUAUGAAUAAGGAUCGGCUAACUCCGUGCCAGCAGCCGCGGUAAUACGGAGGAUCCGAGCGUUAUCCGGAUUUAUUGGGGUGAAAGGGAGCGUAGGGGGAUUGUUAAGUCAGUUGUGAAAGUUUGCGGCUCAACCGGAAAAUUGCAGUUGAAACGGGCAGUCUUGCGUACAGUAGAGGUGGGCGUACUUCGUGGUGUAGCUGU
rnacentral:rRNA from 1 species